CGUCCGGGCGUUUCCUUGAUGAACCUAGAUAACCACAUCAGAUCGUAUAGUCCUCGUACAGACGACUUAUCUUUCAAAUGCCUGACUUAUCAACUGACGAUGGUAGACUCCGUGUCUACCAUGGCUCUUACGGGUAACGGGGAAUCAGGGUUCGAUUCCGGAGAGGGAGCCUGAGAAACGGCUACCACAUCCAAGGAAGGCAGCAGGCACGCAAAUUACCCACUCCCAGCACGGGGAGGUAGUGACAAAAAAUAACGAUACGGGACUCGAUAUGAGGCCCCGUAAUCGGAAUGAGAACACUUUAAACCCUUUAACAAGGAUCCAUUGGAGGGCAAGUCUGGUGCCAGCAGCCGCGGUAAUUCCAGCUCCAAUAGCGUAUAUUAAAGUUGUUGCGGUUAAAAAGCUCGUAGUUGGUUCUGCGUUUCACGCUGUCGGUACACCGUUUGCCGGUGACACUGGCAUGCCGUGGAAUGUCCUGUCGGUGGCGGCCGAGGCCUCGGUUUUUCGGACGUGUCUGGAAAGCCUUGUGUUUUUCGGCCGCCGUUUCCUAUCCUACCGCGGUGCUCUUGAUUGAGUGUCGAGGUAGGCCGACACGUUUACUUUGAACAAAUUAGAGUGCUUAAAGCAGGCUCAAAUUUCUGCCAGAAUAGUGGUGCAUGGAAUAAUGGAACAGGCCCUUGGUUCUAUUCUGUUGGUCUUAGGAACACAAGGUAAUGAUCAAUGUGGACAGGCGGGGGCAUUCGUAUUGCGGCGUUAGAGGUGAAAUUCUUGGUUCUUCGCAAGACGCACUAGAGCGAAAGCAUUUGCCAAGUAUGUCUUAAUUGAUCAAGAACGAAGUAAGUUGACAGGUCUAGACUACGCCGAUGUUCCUCCGAUGACUCGGCGGGGAGCUUUCCCCGGGAAACCAAAGCUUUUGGGUACCGGGGGAAGUAUGGUUGCAAAGCUGAAACUUAAAGGAAUUGACGGAAGGGCACCACCAGGAGUGGAGCCUGCGGCUUAAUUUGACUCAACACGGGAAACCUCACCAGGUCAGGACAUUGGAAUGAUUGACAGAUUGAUAGCUCUUUCUUGAUUCAGUGGGUAGUGGUGCAUGGCCGUUCUUAGUUGGUGGAUCGAUUUGUCUGGUUAAUUCCGAUAACGAACGAGACUCUAGCCUAUUAACUAGACGUUUCUGGUAUCGUAGCUACCGACGACAAAUAAUCUUCUUAAGGGGACAGGCGGCUUUUAGCCGCACGAGAUUGAGCAAUAACAGGUCUGUGAUGCCCUUAGAUGUCCUGGGCCGCACGCGCGCUACACUGAAGGAAUCAGCGUGUGCUUUCCCUUGGCCGAAAGGUCCGGGUAACCCGCUGAACCUCCUUCGUGCUAGGAAUUGGGGCUUGCAAUUGUUCCCCAUGAACGAGGAAUUCCCAGUAAGCGCGAGUCAUAAGCUCGCGUUGAUUACGUCCCUGCCCUUUGUACACACCGCCCGUCGCUACUACCGAUUGAAUGAUUUAGUGAGGUCUUCGGACCGGCGGUAAGCCCAACCGAUCCGUCGGUUUUGUCGAACGCUGGAAAGAUGACCAAACUUGAUCAUUUAGAGGAAGUAAAAGUCGUAACAAGGUUUCCGUAGGUGAACUGGGCAAAAGGUCAA
rnacentral:rRNA from 1 species